rnacentral:rRNA from 1 species
CCUACGGGAGGCAGCAGUGGGGAAUAUUGCACAAUGGGGGGAACCCUGAUCCAGCCAUGCCGCGUGUGUGAAGAAGGCCCUCGGGUUGUAAAGCACUUUCAGUGAGGAAGAACGCCUGGUGGUUAAUACCCAUCAGGAAAGACAUCACUCACAGAAGAAGCACCGGCUAACUCCGUGCCAGCAGCCGCGGUAAUACGGAGGGUGCGAGCGUUAAUCGGAAUUACUGGGCGUAAAGCGCACGUAGGUGGCUUGAUAAGCCGGUUGUGAAAGCCCCGGGCUCAACCUGGGAACGGCAUCCGGAACUGUCAAGCUAGGGUGCAGGAGAGGAAGGUAGAAUUCCCGGUGUAGCGGUGAAAUGCGUAGAGAUCGGGAGGAAGACCAGUGGCGAAGGCGGCCUUCUGGACUGACACUGACACUGAGGUGCGAAAGCGGGGGUAGCAAACAGGAUUAGAUACCCUAGUAGUC